rnacentral:rRNA from 1 species
GACGAACGCUGGCGGCGUGCUUAACACAUGCAAGUCGUACGGUAAGGCCCUUUCGGGGGUACACGAGUGGCGAACGGGUGAGCAACACGUGAGUAACCUGCCCACAACUUUGGGAUAACGCUAGGAAACUGGUGCUAAUACUGGAUAUGUGCUCCUGCUGCAUGGUGGGGGUUGGAAAGCUCCGGCGGUUGUGGAUGGACUCGCGGCCUAUCAGCUUGUUGGUGGGGUAGUGGCCUACCAAGGCGGCGACGGGUAGCCGGCCUGAGAGGGUGACCGGCCACAUUGGGACUGAGAUACGGCCCAGACUCCUACGGGAGGAAGCAGUGGGGAAUAUUGCACAAUGGGCGCAAGCCUGAUGCAGCAACGCCGCGUGCGGGAUGACGGCCUUCGGGUUGUAAACCGCUUUCAGCAGGGACGAAGCUUUUUGUGACGGUACCUGAAGAAGAAGCACCGGCUAACUACGUG